UCUACCAAGAUGGAGAUGGCCUGAACCCUGCCAGCCCUUCUCUCUGUUCAAGCCACUUCGGAAAUCUGACCUUGAAGCAUCCAGCGCAUCCUUGUUGCCACAUUGCAGGAGCCAUCCUCUCACCCAGAGGAGGAUGAGAGGUAAUAUUGCAAAUGGGAAGAGUUGCCAGUAUGAAGAAGACCACCCCUUCCUGGGAGCUACCUUUUCUAUGGGUUUGCCAAGCACAGUCUGCCGGUUCACCAAUAGGCCACGGGCUUUAAGAUUCUGCAAACAUUCAUAUAGGCAACAGUUCAAAGCUGCCAAUUUGAAGACAAGACUUUGCUCAGUAGCAGAAGUAAUGAAG
rnacentral:lncRNA from 1 species